AGGAGAUUGGAUAUAUAUACAUAGAUAUAGAACCAACUUUCCAUGAAAAGAAGGUCAAGGAAUUUGUAAUUAUUUUAAAUCCAACCAACUGAAAGCAGACACGAGAAGCUAAAUGAGAAUCGUAGAAAGAUUCAAAAUAACAUUUCUUCUGCUUGAGAAUGGACAAUAGAAUUCCUUGCUUUGGCUUUUUGGGACAUAAGUAUACGCUCAAUCAGUGUUUCCCGUUGUGUUCUAUAAAAUGUUAUCAUUUGAAAAAAGUUCUGUAUUAAGAGACUCAAAAUCAGUGAAGAAAUGUGGAAUAUUGCAGUGGAAACAGCACUAUGCUAAGGAUCAAGACACUGGAGUUUAA
rnacentral:lncRNA from 1 species